UACGGAGGAUGCAAGGGUUAUCCGGAAUGAUUGGGCGUAAAGGGUCCGCAGGUGGCAGUGUAAGUCUGCUGUCAAAGAAUGAGGCUUAACCUCAUCAAGGCAGUGGAAACUACACAGCUAGAGUACGGUCGGGGUAGAAGGAAUUCCUGGUGUAGCGGUGAAAUGCGUAGAGAUCAGGAAGAACACCGGUGGCGAAAGCGUUCUGCUAGACCUGUACUGACACUGAGGGACGAAAGCUAGGGGAGCGAAUGGG
rnacentral:rRNA from 1 species